rnacentral:tRNA from 2 species
GCGCCUUUAGCUCAGCUGGAUAGAGUGUUUGACUACGAAUCAAAAGGUCGGGGGUUCGAAUCCCUCAAGGCGCGCCA